UCCUGAACGAUGUCUGUGAAAGAGGU
rnacentral:piRNA from 1 species